UGAUUCAGGAAGGUUUACAGGCUGGAU
rnacentral:piRNA from 1 species